rnacentral:piRNA from 1 species
UAUCUGGGAAACCUGGACACAGGUGUUGCA